UGCUAGUUGGUCCACAGGUAAAGGAAAAACCAAUACCCGUCAAGGUUAUUUUAUUGCAAAAACAUACUGAAGUCAUUAGGACAGAAAACAAAAGAGAUGUUGUUGAGUGUAUAUGCGUGUAUAUGAAUGCUGUGUGGUGUAAAUGACAUUGAAGUGUUGGUGUAUGUGACGUACAAAAUGUGUGUGAGAUGUGUUGCAGGGCGUGGACAAACACUUGAAAAUUAACAGUUAACAAUUGAGACAAACAGUGAGGACACGACAGGACACGGAGAACAGUGAAAACAUUAAUGACAAAAUAAGAGAGUCUGUCCUGGCGCACCGCAUUUUCUUAGAGUCAUCGGGGGAAGCACGCGACUGCUUUCAGCGGUGAUUUGCUACACACUCUCCUCAGAUUGCUUAUGAUUAGUGGAUGAUUGAAUAGGUUAAUAUCUCAUAGGUGGAUGCUGGGAUUGGUGAUAUCAUUGUUGGAUGCUAGAAACGGUUAAAUCUCCUUGUGUAUGUUAGGAAAAGUUAAAUUUCAUUGGUGGAUGCUGGGAAAUGUUGAAUCUCAUUGGUGGAUGCUGGGAAAUGUUGAAUCUCAUUGGUUGAUGUUAGGAAAUGUUGAAUCUCAUUGGUGGAUGCUGGGAAUGGUUAAAUCUCAUUGGUGGAUGCUGGGAAUGGUUAAAUCUCAUUGGUGGAUGCUGGGAAAGGUUAAAUCUCAUUGGUGGAUGCUGGGAAAGGUUAAAUCUCAUUGGUGGAUGCUGGGAAAGGUUAAAUCUCAUUGGUGGAUGCUGGGAAAGGUUAAAUCUCAUUGGUGGAUGCUGGAAAAGGUUAAAUCUCAUUGGUGGAUGCUGGGAAAGGUUAAAUCUCAUUGGUGGAUGCUGGGAAAUGUUAAAUCUCAUUGGUGGAUGCUGGGAAAGGUUAAAUCUCAUUGGUGGAUGCUGGGAAAGGUUAAAUCUCAUUGGUGGAUGCUGGGAAAGGUUAAAUCUCAUUGGUGGAUGCUGGGAAAGGUUAAAUCUCAUUGGUGGAUGCUGGGAAAGGUUAAAUCUCAUUGGUGGAUGCUGGGAAAGGUUAAAUCUCACCGGUGGAUGCUGGGAAAGGUUAAAUCUCUUUGGUGGAUGCUGGGAAAGGUUAACUCUCAUUGGUGGAUGCUGGGAAAGGUUAAAUCUCUUUGGUGGAUGCUGGGAAAUGCUAAAUCUCAUUGGUGG